rnacentral:rRNA from 1 species
UACGUAGGUGGCAAGCGUUGUCCGGAUUUACUGGGCGUAAAGAGCGCGCAGGCGGUCGUUCAAGUCGCGUGUGAAAGCCCCCGGCUCAACUGGGGAGGGUCACGCGAUACUGAUCGACUCGAAGGCAGGAGAGGGAAGUGGAAUUCCCGGUGUAGUGGUGAAAUGCGUAGAUAUCGGGAGGAACACCAGUGGCGAAGGCGACUUCCUGGCCUGUUCUUGACGCUGAGGCGCGAAAGCUAGGGGAGCGAAUGGG